GCAGUGGUGGUUCAAAGGCAGAAUUCUCACCUUCCAUGUGGGAGACUUGGAUUCAAUUCCUCGCCAGUGCA
rnacentral:tRNA from 1 species